ensembl:lncRNA
ACUGGAAAAAAAAAGGAAAUGAAGUCAGUAGGUUUACAAUCUCAGAGUUUUUUGAUUUAAUUAGAAGUCAUUAACAGCAGCCCCCACUAUUCAGUUGCUGAGCAUGCCCAAAUAGAGAGCUUCAAGCAGAAGCUAUAAGCUGCAGGCUUUACAGCUGGCUCAGUUGGAUGUAUGGCAAAAUUCAAGUAUUUCCCCAUGCUGCAGAGUGGACAGCAAACAUGACAAUAACAUGAAGACCACUAUAAAAGAGUAGAGAGUGAGCCUGAUGUGAUUAAAGGUUAAGCUUAGAACAAGUAAAGCACACUAAUUUAUAUUAUAUUCUCUUCGUGUACGUGUUGCAUAUUAAAUCUUUUUUGAUUUAUGGCUUUAGAAACUUUGUAAGUCACACAUUUUAAUGCACACACUCUGUCACAGCUGAAUCACUUGCUAAUGUGCUAUACUCCCUGAUGAGCUGGCCAAUUUAAUAUCCAGGCUGAUGCCAGAAUCUCAGCACAAUGAAAGCCCCUUCAUUGAUAUUCUGGUGUAACACCUAAUAACAAUUAGAUUCCUUUCCUCGGUAUUGUCUCUCACUAUUGUCAUUUCAACAACAGAUGCUUUUCUUAUAAGCCACUGAAUUUACUCAAAUUUAAAUGUCAGGCGGACCAAGUGAAUGCACAAUCCAUGAACCUGCACGGGGGAAAAUGAACUCACAUCUGUCUCAUUAUAAUAUAUAGUAUUUCCAUUUCAUUUACUUUCAGUUCUUAGCAUAGUUUCAAGCAGUUUUUCAGUUUCCAAACCACGCAGCAUCCUAGGAAAAGAUAGGUGAUUUUUUCCAUGCUAUGCCAGAAAACACAUUGUUCUUUGGUAUAUUUUUUUCCAAAAAGGUCACGUUGCAAAGCCCAACGUUUGAAGAUGUGGCUGCGUAUGUGGGAAAUUAAAUCAAUUCACUCCCACGCCACGCACUUCAGUCCCAAAAGCAGGAAAUACACUCAUUUCCCUCGCUCAGCCCUCUGUUUCUCUUCUAAAACAUGUAUCUGUCAGAGAAACACGGGGUUUUUAAUGAUGGAAUGAGAACAGCACGUGCAACAGGAGCUCAGCAUCCAAUCUGCAUGGCUGAUACAUCUGCAGGCAGUCUGAGCAGCCAGAGGGACUGGCCUCACUGCUGGUCAUCAGGAGCAUUAUGGGCUUCGGAAGGAGGUAAAGCUGACCAUGCCUUUUGGAGUUUGGGGGUUUUGUAUGUUUUUAAUGCUUAUUUUGUUUAAGUAGCAUCAAGGAAAAAUCUUACCGCAUGAGCUGCCUGCACAGCAGAUUCCAGUUUCAGCCCUGGGUGGCACCCACAGCACCUCUCAGCAGGGAGGCAAAGUUUGCUAUGCAAGAACCCAGAAAGAAGUGGUUGGGUGGGGUUUUUUCCCCUUUCUCACAAUCCCUGGGCUGCUAGCAGCUGAUCCACUAACAACACACAAGACUCGUGAAUUAUUCAGGAAUUAUUCAUAAUGGGAUGCUGGAGGGAGUGGAUCACAUUGCCUCAUACUCGAUUUCUUUUCCUUGUUUUUCUUCUUUUUUGAGGAGGGAGUGGCAACAAAAUGGAUGUAUUUCUUUGAUCAGGUUAAGGUCCUCAGAAAUUGUAAGUAUUCGGUGUUACCUAUUAAGAGACAGAUAGCAAAGAAAAAAAAACAUUAAUAAAUAGCAGACCUCAUAACA